GCUGGCGGCGUGCCUAAUACAUGCAAGUAGAACGCUGAAGAGAGGAGCUUGCUCUUCUUGGAUGAGUUGCGAACGGGUGAGUAACGCGUAGGUAACCUGCCUUGUAGCGGGGGAUAACUAUUGGAAACGAUAGCUAAUACCGCAUAACAAUGGAUGACACAUGUCAUUUAUUUGAAAGGGGCAAUUGCUCCACUACAAGAUGGACCUGCGUUGUAUUAGCUAGUAGGUGAGGUAAUGGCUCACCUAGGCGACGAUACAUAGCCGACCUGAGAGGGUGAUCGGCCACACUGGGACUGAGACACGGCCCAGACUCCUACGGGAGGCAGCAGUAGGGAAUCUUCGGCAAUGGGGGCAACCCUGACCGAGCAACGCCGCGUGAGUGAAGAAGGUUUUCGGAUCGUAAAGCUCUGUUGUAAGUCAAGAACGGGUGUGAGAGUGGAAAGUUCACACUGUGACGGUAGCUUACCAGAAAGGGACGGCUAACUACGUGCCAGCAGCCGCGGUAAUACGUAGGUCCCGAGCGUUGUCCGGAUUUAUUGGGCGUAAAGCGAGCGCAGGCGGUUUGAUAAGUCUGAAGUUAAAGGCUGUGGCUCAACCAUAGUUCGCUUUGGAAACUGUCAAACUUGAGUGCAGAAGGGGAGAGUGGAAUUCCAUGUGUAGCGGUGAAAUGCGUAGAUAUAUGGAGGAACACCGGUGGCGAAAGCGGCUCUCUGGUCUGUAACUGACGCUGAGGCUCGAAAGCGUGGGGAGCGAACAGGAUUAGAUACCCUGGUAGUCCACGCCGUAAACGAUGAGUGCUAGGUGUUGGAUCCUUUCCGGGAUUCAGUGCCGCAGCUAACGCAUUAAGCACUCCGCCUGGGGAGUACGACCGCAAGGUUGAAACUCAAAGGAAUUGACGGGGGCCCGCACAAGCGGUGGAGCAUGUGGUUUAAUUCGAAGCAACGCGAAGAACCUUACCAGGUCUUGACAUCCCGAUGCUAUUUCUAGAGAUAGAAAGUUACUUCGGUACAUCGGUGACAGGUGGUGCAUGGUUGUCGUCAGCUCGUGUCGUGAGAUGUUGGGUUAAGUCCCGCAACGAGCGCAACCCCUAUUGUUAGUUGCCAUCAUUCAGUUGGGCACUCUAGCGAGACUGCCGGUAAUAAACCGGAGGAAGGUGGGGAUGACGUCAAAUCAUCAUGCCCCUUAUGACCUGGGCUACACACGUGCUACAAUGGUUGGUACAACGAGUUGCGAGUCGGUGACGGCGAGCUAAUCUCUUAAAGCCAAUCUCAGUUCGGAUUGUAGGCUGCAACUCGCCUACAUGAAGUCGGAAUCGCUAGUAAUCGCGGAUCAGCACGCCGCGGUGAAUACGUUCCCGGGCCUUGUACACACCGCCCGUCACACCACGAGAGUUUGUAACACCCGAAGUCGGUGAGGUAACCUUUUGGAGCCAGCCGCCUAAGGUGGGACAGAUGAUUGGGGUGA
rnacentral:rRNA from 1 species